rnacentral:rRNA from 1 species
AGGACGAACGCUGGCGGCGUGCUUAACACAUGCAAGUCGAACGGAAAGGCCCGCUUGCGGGUACUCGAGUGGCGAACGGGUGAGUAACACGUGGGCAACCUGCCCUCAGCUUCGGGACAACUCCUGGAAACGGGUGCUAAUACCGAAUAUUGGCUUCUGGUCGCAUGGCUGGUGGUUGAAAGUUUUUUCGGCUGGGGAUGGGCCCGCGGCCUAUCAGCUUGUUGGUGGGGUGAUGGCCUACCAAGGCGACGACGGGUA